AACAAGGCCACAAGGCAAGUAUGCAUUAGCCAUAAUUUGGGUGUCAGUCCCACUAAACAAGACUACAAGGCUAGUUUCGCCAGGUGUCGUCAGGCCACAAUUCAGGCGUUGGUCCCACCAAUCAAAGGCAUCUUAUGCUAGGCUACAAGGUAGGUUCUGCCAAGCCACAAGACCGAGCGUUGGUACCACUAAUCAAGGC
rnacentral:lncRNA from 1 species